GUACAAAUAACCACAUGUCAUUUACUGUGAUAAAGAGCACAACUACAAUGUGCAUCACAGUAUAGACGUGUAUAACGUUUUCAAGUGUUUCCACCAUGAGAUCUAACUGUCUGACCAUCGUUCAUGUGUUCGUCUUGGUGACACUCGUCCUCACUCUGGAUGCUGAUGGUAAAGAUUUAAAUUGUGAAACAGAAAUCAAAGUCCGUCGCAACACAGUUUACGAAGCCGUCGUUGGACAAGAACUCAGGAUUAACUGCACAGUUGUUUUCUGUAACAAUUCACAAACAGUCUACUGGUUUAAAUUUGAGAAGACUCCUGUUCCUGUCAACAUCAGCAGUGGGAGCCACAUUAAAACAGACUGGAUAACGUUAAAACAUUUUAGAGGGAUUUCAUCACUGAUUUUCAAAAACAUUCUCAGUAGUGACUCAGGACAGUAUCGUUGUCAGAGUGGAGGCAGUGUGAGUCACACCAUCAACGUCUCUGUUCAUGAUCAUGUUGAGUCCACCACAAUGACAUGGACACUGGAACCAGAGAACCUGACUCAGGACUCUUUGUGGCAUUAUGUGUACAGUGCUGUUGGAGUCAUUGUGUUUGUGAUCAUAGUGACAUCGAUAUCUAUUGCACUAAUGAAAGCAUGUGAAGGUGUCCACUGUGCAAAAGGAUCCAGGACCACAACAGAUCCGAACCCUGAAGCUUCUGACCACGAAUCAGAUAUUUAUGAGAAUGACAUGUGA
rnacentral:lncRNA from 1 species